rnacentral:lncRNA from 1 species
GCAUAUUUGGGGAAAAGUUCAUUUCUUCUGUGCAUAAAAUAUAUGCAAAGACAUUUUAUUGUUCCACAGAAGUAAAGAUACAGGAACAACAGAAUCAAAUAGCUUUCCGUUUAAAUCCUCAAGACAAAUAAGUUUAUAAUCGAUGUUCAGAGUAAUUCCGAAUUGUGUGAUUUAUUUUUGAUUCAAUUGCAAGUCUUAAAUAUUUAGGUAUUGUAAAUAAAGGUGAAUAAUUCUUAGGAACAGAAACAAUCAACAACGAAAUGAUUAUGAAAUAUACACAAUUAAUUUGUUACAAAAACAAAAGGAAUCGCUAUUCGUAAAGUUGUCUGGAUUUUGAUUUUCAAGCGAGCGUCGGCAGAUUAACUAGAAAAAUAUACAUUUUUAUUGUAUACGUAUUGAUUUGAGAUUACAUUUCGAAUUUGAUCUUGAGAAAGCCAAAAACAAUGAGAUGGCGGUGGCGGCUCCUAAACAUUGUAACGCUAAGCAAUUCAGUUGUAGUUACACAUCAUUAAUAGUUGCAUAUUGUAUAAAUAUUUGCCAUUAUGUUCAAGUAUACUCGUACCUACAUACAUAAAGUUCGUACCAAAGUUUGCUUUGUUCACAGACGUACACACGGAGGUAAAGUAAACUUCUUUGCAACAACUACAAUAUGUAGAAGAGGUGUGUGUGUGUGUGUGUGUGUGUGGAACCGAUCGGAUAUUACUCAUAAACAUACAUACAUAUUUAUUAUUUAUUUACCGAGUGCGCAUACAAUCAUAAAUGUAUGCCAAGUAUAUCGUAUUUUAGCUUGAGUUUCGAGUUCAAAAAUUGACUGGCGUCUACAUAUAUGUAUGUAUUUAUAUUUAUAUUUAUCUUUAUGUUUAUCUAUUUAUACAAUUAAACGGAUUGCGGUAUUAAGAACAAUUUGCGUACACCUUUUGUUUGUGUCUAAGUUUCAAUUUCGCAUUGAUACUCUCAAUAUUUGUGCUGUGC